rnacentral:rRNA from 1 species
GACGAACGCUGGCGGCGUGCCUAAUACAUGCAAGUAGAACGCUGAAGAGAAGAGCUUGCUCUUCUUGGAUGAGUUGCGAACAGGUGAGUAACGCGUAGGUAACCUGCCUGGUAGCGGGGGAUAACUAUUGGAAACGAUAGCUAAUACCGCAUGAUAUUAAUUGUCGCAUGAUAAUUAAUUGAAAGAUGCAAUUGCAUCACUACCAGAUGGACCUGCGUUGUAUUAGCUAGUUGGUGAGGUAACGGCUCACCAAGGCGACGAUACAUAGCCGACCUGAGAGGGUGAUCGGCCACACUGGGACUGAGACACGGCCCAGACUCCUACGGGAGGCAGCAGUAGGGAAUCUUCGGCAAUGGGGGGAACCCUGACCGAGCAACGCCGCGUGAGUGAAGAAGGUUUUCGGAUCGUAAAGCUCUGUUGUAAGAGAAGAACGGGUGUGAGAGUGGAAAGUUCACA